AUAGCCUUGUGGUCUCAGGUUCUCACCGUUAGCGACCGGCUCAUAACCGGUUGGUCCCUGGUUCGAAUCCGGGUGGGCCCA
rnacentral:tRNA from 1 species